AUUGAACGCUGGCGGCAGGCCUAACACAUGCAAGUCGAACGAGUGGCGGACGGGUGAGUAAUAUCUGGGAAACUGCCUGAUGGAGGGGGAUAACUACUGGAAACGGUAGCUAAUACCGCAUACCAUCGGAUGUGCCCAGAGGGGAUUAGCUCGUUGGUGGGGUAAAGGCUGACCAAGGAGACGAGCCCUAGCUGGUCUGAGAGGAGAAACAGCCACACUGGAACUUGGACACGGGCCAGACUCCUACGGGAGGCGGCAGUGGGGAAUAUUGCACAGUGGGCGAAAGCCUGAUGCAGCAGUGCCGCGUGUAUGAAGAAGUCCUUCGGGUUGGAAAGUACUUUCAGCGGGGAGGCGUUACCCGCAGAAGAAGCACCGGCUAACUCCGUGCCAGCAGCCGCGGUAAUAC
rnacentral:rRNA from 1 species